GGCCUGGUUGGGUGGUCUUGCCGCAAGGUAAGCACUGCUCCGAUCGGGUCUUUCCUUCUGGGGAACCAGCGUGCUCUUAAUUGGGUGCGUUGGGGAUCCAGGACUUUUACUUUGAAAAAAUUAGAGUGUUUAAAGCAGGCGAAACAGCUUGAAUACAUUAGCAUGGAAUAAUAAAAGAGG
rnacentral:rRNA from 1 species